rnacentral:rRNA from 1 species
AUGGAGGGUGGCCGGGUGCUUACGGUUCUCCUCCUGGUGCUCCUGCUGGUCGGCCUCGCUGGCUCGAGCCCUCCGCCGGAGCCGGUGGUCUGUGCCCACGGCACGUCCGAUUGCACUGUCUCCAACGCGUACGGCUCCUUCCCGGACCGCACCGUCUGCCACGCCGCCAACGCCACCUUCCCGCGCACCGAGAAGGAGCUAGUCGCGGCCGUGGCGGUCGCUGUGGCGGCCAAGCGCAAGGUGAAGGUGGCCACCAAGCUCUCCCACAGCUUCCCCAAGCUGGCCUGCCCCGGCGGCCGCGACGGCACCAUCAUAAGCACGGAGCGGCUCAACCGGGUGGUAAGCGUCGACGUCGCCAAGGGGUUGAUGACGGUAGAAAGCGGCAUGGUGCUCCGCGACCUGAUCGAGGUGGCCGCCGAGGCAGGGUUGGCGCUGCCGCACUCGCCGUACUGGUCAGGGCUCACCAUCGGAGGCCUGCUGGCCACGGGCGCGCACGGCAGUUCGCUCAAGGGUAAGGGCGGCGCCGUGCACGAGUACGUGGUCGGGAUGAGGAUCGUCACGCCGGCACCGAGGAGCCAAGGGUUCGCGGUGGUACGGCAGCUCUGCGCCGACCAUCCUGACCUCGACGCGGCCAAGGUCUCCCUCGGCGUCCUGGGCGUCGUUUCCCAGGUUACACUGGCCUUGGAGCCGAUGUUCAAGCGGUCGGUGACGUUCGUGACACGCAAUGACUCUGACAUGGCAGAGCAGGCCGUCGUGUGGGGUGGCCUCCAUGAAUUUGGCGAUAUGGCGUGGCUGCCACAGCAGCGCAAUGUUAUUUACCGCAAGGACAAUCGCGUGGCCAUCACGUCAGUGGGUAACGACCUCAAUGACUACCUGGCCUUGCGAUCCAGUCCGACGGCCGACCUCAUCAGCGGCAGAGUCAUGCACGAGCUUCUUGAGAAGAAGAACAACACCGUCGCUCGGUGCAAGGAGGCACCCACGUCUGCAUCGCUGUUUGAGAAGGCAGCAUACGGCUUUACAAACAACGACAGCUUGUUCAUGGGGUAUCCGGUGGUAGGAUUCCAGCACCGCAUCCAAGCAUCCGGUUCGUGUCUCGAAAACCCAGAAGACGCACUCCUCACUACGUGUCCGUGGGAUCCCCGCAUCCGGGGAAUCUUCUUCUACAACAAUGCCUACAGCAUCGCGCUCUCUAGGGUGCCAGCAUUCAUCGCCGACAUGAAGCAGCUCCGUAAUAGCAACCCGAAGGCCUUCUGCGGAAUCGACGCCAGUUUGGGUAUUCUCCUCCGCUAUAUCAAGGCAUCCUCUGCCUACCUCGGCAAGCCGGAGGACUCGGUCGACUUUGAUAUAACCUACUACCGGAGCUACACCAAGGGUGAGCCCAACCCACACUCUGACGUGCUCGACGAACUCCAACAGAUGGCGCUACACAAGUAUGGCGCCAUCCCUCACUGGGGCAAGAACCGCAACUUUGCCUUUGAAGGCGCCAUUGCCAAGUACCCCGAGGCUGGCAAGUUCCUAGAGGUAAAGGGCAGGUAUGACCCUGAUGGGAUCUUCUCCAGUGAAUGGAGUGACCAGGUGCUCGGCAUUAAUGGGAGCCCGAUCAUCGUUGAGAAGGGUUGCGCCAUUGAGGGCCUUUGCGUCUGCUCAGAAGACUCGCAUUGUGCACCGGAGCAGGGCUACUACUGCCGCCCUGGGAAGGUGUACAGGGAGGCGAGGGUCUGCUCGUUCCAACCCAAUUGA